GUUGGAACCAGGCAGGGGAAGCAACAGGUUGGCUGGCCAAGCCAUGGCAGCAACCAGGAACUCUGCAGGGGCCUGAAGUCUCUACCAUGGUUUUGGAAAAUCACCUUUGGAACUGCUGAGAGGACGCAAAGCUACCACCAAACCUUCCCAAUGGCAACAACUCAUAGGGCUUUCCAUGCCAUCUCACUCUGAGGAUGCAGAGAUUCAUGAUCAGGCCAUCUUUUAUGAAGAUAUCUCUUGGUAAGAAGCCUCUUAACAUGAACAUACUCAAACAGUUUAAUCCUUCAAGCCUUAAGCAUUUUACAACUAAUCGGAAGAAUGCUAAUUAUGUAAAUACCAACAAACAAAGUUAACCAAUUAGUGAAAAAAGAAUUAAAGGCAGCAUCUGGACUUAGUAAAUAAAUGCUUUUCAGAUUCUGGUUUAAGUACCCAUAUUACAUCGAUCACAGUAUUCCUAUCAGAA